AUAAUUUAUUAUAUAUUAAACUUAUUUUAAUAACUUUAGUAGUUUAAAUUAUUGAUCAUGAAUUAUAUAAAAUAAAAUUUAAUAUAUUGCAUUAAAUUUGAAAUAAAUAUCCAAACUAAUAGAAAAUGUAUUUUUACAAG
rnacentral:misc_RNA from 1 species